AUGUGGGUGAAAGUAAAAGGAUGUGCCCUAGGUGUAGAGUGGUUAGGGUGCAAUGGACUGUACAUGGCAAGUUAACUGCAUCCAAAACCCAGGCUGCCAGGAACCGACAUCCAUGUGGGGAUAAAAAUGGGG